UACGAAGGGGGCUAGCGUUGCUCGGAAUCACUGGGCGUAAAGCGCACGUAGGCGGCUUAUUAAGUCAGGGGUGAAAUCCUGGAGCUCAACUCCAGAACUGCCUUUGAUACUGAUGAGCUUGAGUCCGGGAGAGGUGAGUGGAACUGCGAGUGUAGAGGUGAAAUGCGUAGAUAUCAGGAGGAACACCGGUGGCGAAGGCGGGUCUCUGGGCCGAUACUGACGCUGAGGAGCGAAAGCGUGGGGAGCGAACAGG
rnacentral:rRNA from 1 species